AUUGAACGCUGGCGGCAGGCCUAACACAUGCAAGUCGAACGGUAACAGGAAGAAGCUUGCUUCUUUGCUGACGAGUGGCGGACGGGUGAGUAAUGUCUGGGAAACUGCCUGAUGGAGGGGGAUAACUACUGGAAACGGUAGCUAAUACCGCAUAACGUCGCAAGACCAAAGAGGGGGACCUUCGGGCCCCUUGCCAUCGGAUGUGCCCAGAUGGGAUUAGCUAGUAGGUGGGGUAACGGCUCACCUAGGCGACGAUCCCUAGCUGGUCUGAGAGGAUGACCAGCCACACUGGAACUGAGACACAGUCCAGACUCCUACGGGAGGCCGCAGUGGGGAAUAUUGCACAAGGGGCGCAAGCCUGAUGCAGCCAUGCCGCGUGUAUGAAGAAGGCCUUCGGGUUGUAAAGUACUUUCAGCGGGGAGGAAGGGAGUAAAGUUAAUACCUUUGCUCAUUGACGUUACCCGCAGAAGAAGCACCGGCUAACUCCGUG
rnacentral:rRNA from 1 species